UUUGAUUGCGACCGGCACACGGGUGAGUAACACGUAUCCAACCUGCCGAUGACUCGGGGAUAGCCUUUCGAAAGAAAGAUUAAUACCCGAUGGCAUAGUUCUUCCGCAUGGUAGAACUAUUAAAGAAUUUCGGUCAUCGAUGGGGAUGCGUUCCAUUAGGUUGUUGGCGGGGUAACGGCCCACCAAGCCUUCGAUGGAUAGGGGUUCUGAGAGGAAGGUCCCCCACAUUGGAACUGAGACACGGUCCAA
rnacentral:rRNA from 1 species